GCUGGGCAUGGUGGCACCUGCCUAUAAUCCCAGCAGCUCAGGAGGCUGAGGCAGGAGGAUCGCAAAUUCAAAGCCAGCCUCAGCAACAUGGAGUUACUAAGCAUCUCAGUGAGACCCUGUCUCUA
rnacentral:sRNA from 1 species